rnacentral:rRNA from 1 species
CUUGUUAACGCUGAGGCGUGACGACGAGGCACUACGGUGCUGAAGUGAUAAAUGCCCAGCUUCCAGGAAAAGCCUCUAAGCAUCAGGUAACACAGAAUCGUACCCCAAACCGACACAGGUGGUCAGGUAGAGAAUACCAAGGCGCUUGAGAGAACUCGGGUGAAGGAACUAGGCAAAAUGGUGCCGUAACUUCGGGAGAAGGCACGCUGGCGCGUAGGUGGAGGGACUUGCUCCCCGAGCCGAAGCCAGUCGAAGAUACCAGCUGGCUGCAACUGUUUAUUAAAAACACAGCACUGUGCAAACACGAAAGUGGACGUAUACGGUGUGACGCCUGCCCGGUGCCGGAAGGUUAAUUGAUGGGGUUAUCCGUAAGGAGAAGCUCUUGAUCGAAGCCCCGGUAAACGGCGGCCGUAACUAUAACGGUCCUAAGGUAGCGAAAUUCCUUGUCGGGUAAGUUCCGACCUGCACGAAUGGCGUAAUGAUGGCCAGGCUGUCUCCACCCGAGACUCAGUGAAAUUGAACUCGCUGUGAAGAUGCAGUGUACCCGCGGCAAGACGGAAAGACCCCGUGAACCUUUACUACAGCUUGACACUGAACAUUGAGCCUUGAUGUGUAGGAUAGGUGGGAGGCUUUGAAGCGCGGACGCCAGUCUGCGUGGAGCCAACCUUGAAAUACCACCCUUUAAUGUUUGAUGUUCUAACGUAGGCCCGUAAUCCGGGCUGCGGACAGUGUCUGGUGGGUAGUUUGACUGGGGCGGUCUCCUCCUAAAGAGUAACGGAGGAGCACGAAGGUCAGCUAAUCACGGUCGGACAUCGUGAGGUUAGUGCAAUGGCAUAAGCUGGCUUGACUGCGAGAGUGACGGCUCGAGCAGGUGCGAAAGCAGGUCAUAGUGAUCCGGUGGUUCUGAAUGGAAGGGCCAUCGCUCAACGGAUAAAAGGUACUCCGGGGAUAACAGGCUGAUACCGCCCAAGAGUUCAUAUCGACGGCGGUGUUUGGCACCUCGAUGUCGGCUCAUCACAUCCUGGGGCUGAAGUAGGUCCCAAGGGUACGGCUGUUCGCCGUUUAAAGUGGUACGCGAGCUGGGUUUAGAACGUCGUGAGACAGUUCGGUCCCUAUCUGCCGUGGGCGCUGGAGAAUUGAGGGGGGUUGCUCCUAGUACGAGAGGACCGGAGUGAACGCACCACUGGUGUUCGGGUUGUCAUGCCAAUGGCAUUGCCCGGUAGCUAAGUGCGGAAAAGAUAAGUGCUGAAAGCAUCUAAGCACGAAACUUGCCCCGAGAUGAGUUCUCCCUGACUCCUUGAGAGUCCUGAAGGGACGUUGAAGACUACGACGUUGAUAGGCCGGGUGUGUAAGCGCAGCGAUGCGUUGAGCUAACCGGUACUAAUGACCCGUGAGGCUUAACCUU